ensembl:lncRNA
CAUGGGUCAUAACCCCACUGGGGCAAGUACUUGCUUAUUUGUCAGCCAUUUACUCCCCAUAAGCAACCUCCAGCUUGGCCGUAAAUGAACACUUUUCCUUACCUAUCAUAGGUGAAGAAUUAGAUAAUAUUUAUAUUUAUGGGGACUUAAAGAUGCAGGAAGAGUCUGCCUAUUGUUGAAAAGAAGUAUCUAAAAGAAAAAUUAGAAAUUUGGAGUUUCUUAUUUUUUAAAUAUCUUGUCACAAUGAUCUUAUUUCCCAUGAAAAUUCACAUAAAUUGCUGUUAUCAAUGCUGUCAUUAUGCCAUUAUUUAUGUUUUGGAAAAUUUAUGACUAUAUUGAGGAUAAACUAUAAAAAAGACAGGUAACUUGAGGUGUUUGUUUUUUUUUUUAAGGGGGCUACUUUUAACAGGUUUCACGGAGCUGUAGAAGGAAAAAUCUGAGUCUUAAAAUGUGCACAUUUUGGUUAAGUCUGUGCAGUUGUCUCUCAGGAUUCAUGGGGGAUUGGUCCAUAUGUGUGUUAUACACAGUUUUACUACCUCCCCCCCAUGUCAGGUCCUAAUUUGCACUUCACUGGUAACUGAACUAGCCUGAAGAAACUUCAUUNNNNNNNNNNNNNNNNNNNNNNNNUAUUGAUUUCAGUGUCUACACAGGGGGUAGGGGCUGUGUGUUCAGGACAGCUCUGUAGGCUUGCACUAGUGGUAAAAGCCAUGAAAUAGGUGAUAAGUGUUUUUAAUAUUUUUUGAGGACUCUUUUCCAUUAUUUCUAGACCUUUGGGUGUGCUUUUCCUAAUUCACAUUGCUGGAUAGAUGGGAGUUGGAGCCACCUUGUAUUGUUCAAAUAAACAUUUCUCCUUUUCUCUGGACUCUAUGUCAGUUUGCACAAAUUGUAUUUUAAAAAAAUGACAUAGCUUUUGGGCAUGUCAAGCAUUUUUCCUGAAUAAUUUAAAUACUCUUAUUGUUGCCGUCAUUACUCUAAUAUUGAAGCCAAAUCAUUGGUUGCAGUUACUCUACAAACUGUGUUUCCAGGGAGACGGAAUGAAUGAGAAUGUGUUUCAAAUGAAUGUACAAAGGGCGAGACUGGCUGGUAAUUUCCCCAGAACUUAUAGAAAAAGGGUAAUGGAGUUUAUAGCCUCUGUACAGACAGUAGCAUAAGCAAAACACUCAUACCCUUGCCAACAUUUCUAAGAGGCCAAGAAGGCUCUCAUUUGUAGAUCGUAUCACGCUUUCCAUGAUGUUCUCAGUUCCCAGACCAAGUUAGGAAUACUCUGUUAUUUUUUAGACCCUACUAACAACUUGAAGGUAUAAAUUACCUUAAUUGCAGAUUACCAAGAAAACUAAAGACAUUCAUUCACUGGGUGUUUGGAAGUACCAGGUAGAAAAGCUUUUAAACCAGUUCACAUUUGGAAAUCAAACUCAUGAGAGGUUCAGUGCAGAAUGCAGUACACCUUUCAUUCCUGCAUGUGUUAUUAUCUUUGUGGCUCUAAUGUACUUUACUUCCCAAGAGUAGCCACGUGCCUGCUAUAUUAGUGACCUUCUGCAAAUUGAAAAGAUUCUUAACAAAA